UAGGGAAUCUUCGGCAAUGGACGAAAGUCUGACCGAGCAACGCCGCGUGAGUGAAGAAGGUUUUCGGAUCGUAAAACUCUGUUGUUAGAGAAGAACAAGGACGUUAGUAACUGAACGUCCCCUGACGGUAUCUAACCAGAAAGCCACGGCUAACUACGUGCCAGCAGCCGCUGUAAUACGUAGGUGGCAAGCGUUGUCCGGAUUUAUUGGGCGUAAAGCGAGCGCAGGCGGUUUCUUAAGUCUGAUGUGAAAGCCCCCGGCUCAACCGGGGAGGGUCAUUGGAAACUGGGAGGCUUGAGUGCAGAAGAGGAGAGUGCAAUUCCAUGUGUAGCGGUGAAAUGCGUAGAUAUAUGGAAGAACACCAGUGGCGAAGGCGGCUCUCUGGUCUGUAACUGACACUGAGGCUCGAAAGCGUGGGGAGCAAACAGG
rnacentral:rRNA from 1 species